UGGUGGAGUGAUUUGUCUGGUUAAUUCCGUUAACGAACGAGACCUCGACCUGCUAAAUAGUUUGGUGGAUGCUCCGGCAUUUAUUUACGACUUCUUAGAGGGACUAUCGGUGCUUUAGCCGAUGGAAGUUCGAGGCAAUAACA
rnacentral:rRNA from 1 species